AGUGGGGAAUUUUGGACAAUGGGGGAAACCCUGAUCCAGCCAUCCCGCGUGUGCGAUGAAGGCCUUCGGGUUGUAAAGCACUUUUGGCAGGAAAGAAACGUCAUGGGUUAAUACCCCGUGAAACUGACGGUACCUGCAGAAUAAGCACCGGCUAACUACGUGCCAGCAGCCGCGGUAAUACGUAGGGUGCAAGCGUUAAUCGGAAUUACUGGGCGUAAAGCGUGCGCAGGCGGUUCGGAAAGAAAGAUGUGAAAUCCCAGAGCUUAACUUUGGAACUGCAUUUUUAACUACCGAGCUAGAGUGUGUCAGAGGGAGGUGGAAUUCCGCGUGUAGCAGUGAAAUGCGUAGAUAUGCGGAGGAACACCGAUGGCGAAGGCAGCCUCCUGGGAUAACA
rnacentral:rRNA from 1 species